UCCAGGGUAGCUUAGUGGACAUGGCAUCUGCCCGGUAAGCGGAACACUGUGGGUUCGUUUCCCAUCCCUGGAC